AUUGAACGCUGGCGGCAUGCUUUACACAUGCAAGUCGAACGGUAACAGGCCUUUGGGUGCUGACGAGUGGCGAACGGGUGAGUAAUGCAUCGGAACGUGCCCAGAGGUGGGGGAUAACGCAGCGAAAGCUGUGCUAAUACCGCAUGUGAUCUGAGGAUGAAAGCGGGGGACCAGGCAGCAAUGUUUGGCCUCGCGCCUUUGGAGCGGCCGAUGUCAGAUUAGGUAGUUGGUGGGGUAAAGGCCUACCAAGCCGACGAUCUGUAGCUGGUCUGAGAGGACGACCAGCCACACUGGGACUGAGACACGGCCCAGACUCCUACGGGAGGCAGCAGUGGGGAAUUUUGGACAAUGGGCGCAAGCCUGAUCCAGCAAUGCCGCGUGCGGGAAGAAGGCCUUCGGGUUGUAAACCGCUUUUGUACGGAACGAAAAGGCUCUGGCUAAUACCUGGGGCUGAUGACGGUACCGUAAGAAUAAGCACCGGCUAACUACGUG
rnacentral:rRNA from 1 species